UUUCCGUAGGUGAACCUGCGGAAGGAUCAUUAUUAUAUAACCGAGGUGCGAGGGCUGUCGCUGACCCGAAAGGUCGUGCACGCCCGAGUGCCCUCACAAACAUCCAUCUCACCCCUAUGUGCACCACCGCGUGGGUCCCCCUUUGGCUUGUUCGGAGGGGGGCUUACGUUUUCACACAAACUUUGUAUGAAGUGUAGAAUGUAUUUUUUGUUUUUGCUAUCACGCAAUCAAUACAACUUUCAACAACGGAUCUCUUGGCUCUC
rnacentral:misc_RNA from 1 species